rnacentral:misc_RNA from 1 species
AAAAAAAAAAAAAAAAAAGAGCAGAGAAAAUGCCAAUUUGAUUAGUAAAAGAUGCACUCCUCAUUGAUUAGUAAAAAAUUAACUUCCUUCCAAUUCCCAAUUUUCUCAGCCACCCAAGAGAGCACAAUCCCAAACUUAAAUAGGGAAGGCAAUGGAGACGACCAGGAUAUUAUCGAAAUAAAGAAUAAAAACAUAACAAUCUGACCAUCAAAAACAAACCAGAGAUCGAUCAUUCCAUCCUUGGUUGCAAAGCAAGUGAAUAAGAAUCAAAUAUUGCGAAUCUUAGCAUCAUCUAAAUCGAAACACAAAAAAAAAAAAAAAAAA